rnacentral:lncRNA from 1 species
AUGGCUGCCUCAUUUUUCUCUAGAGCCCAGUUGCAAGAAUGGGUACAAAGGGUGCCCCGAAGAGUGUGCUGUCCACCCUUUCCUCCAGGUUGGGCAUGCUCAAUUCAGGUCUCACAGAUCCUAGCAGGUGAAGGGAGAGUGCGUGGCAGUGGAUGUGGGUACUUCCUUGGAGGUCUCAGCACCAGCACCAGUGGAUGGCUGUGGCGUAAACUACCUGAGAUUCCGAGGCAGAAGCUCUGUGGAGGGUCCACACAACUGUAUGUUCACCAGGCUCCUAGGGGAUCUGAUUAUCAGCCGGGUGUGUGGGUACACUGCCCAAGAGAGGUGGUAUUCAACCUUGGUUGCACAUUAAAAUCAUUUGGGGGACUUAAAAAAAUCCCUCUACUCAAGCCCAAGCCACUGAAAUCAGAAUCUGUGGAGGUGAGAGAUUGAUAUCAGUAGUUUAAUAACCUAAUAAGGUAAUUUCAACCAGCAAGCAAUCCUGAGAACCUCUGCUAGGGCUUUCUGACCCUCAUCAAACCCCGCUGAGAAUAAAAAUAUUAUCUGAGCAGUGCA